rnacentral:rRNA from 1 species
AGAGUUUGAUCCUGGCUCAGGACGAACGCUGGCGGCGUGCUUAACACAUGCAAGUCGAACGGAAAGGCCCUUUCGGGGGUACUCGAGUGGCGAACGGGUGAGUAACACGUGGGUGAUCUGCCCUGCACUUCGGGAUAAGCUUGGGAAACUGGGUCUAAUACCGGAUAGGACUACGGACUUCAUGGUUUGUGGUGGAAAGCUUUUGCGGUGUGGGAUGGGCCCGCGGCCUAUCAGCUUGUUGGUGGGGUGAUGGCCUACCAAGGCGACGACGGGUAGCCGGCCUGAGAGGGUGUCCGGCCACACUGGGACUGAGAUACGGCCCAGACUCCUACGGGAGGCAGCAGUGGGGAAUAUUGCACAAUGGGCGCAAGCCUGAUGCAGCGACGCCGCGUGGGGGAUGACGGCCUUCGGGUUGUAAACCUCUUUCACCAUCGGCGAAGCCCAUGAUUUUUGUUGUGGGUGACGGUAGGUGGAGAAGAAGCACCGGCCAACUACGUGCCAGCAGCCGCGGUAAUACGUAGGGUGCGAGCGUUGUCCGGAAUUACUGGGCGUAAAGAGCUCGUAGGUGGUUUGUCGCGUUGUCCGUGAAAUUCCCUGGCUUAACUGGGGGCGUGCGGGCGAUACGGGCAGACUGGAGUACUGCAGGGGAGACUGGAAUUCCUGGUGUAGCGGUGGAAUGCGCAGAUAUCAGGAGGAACACCGGUGGCGAAGGCGGGUCUCUGGGCAGUAACUGACGCUGAGGAGCGAAAGCGUGGGGAGCGAACAGGAUUAGAUACCCCUGUAGUCC